rnacentral:rRNA from 1 species
GUGGGGAAUAUUGGGCAAUGGGCGAAAGCCUGACCCAGCAACGCCGCGUGAAGGAAGAAGGUUUUCGGAUCGUAAACUUCUAUCCUUGGUGAAGAUAAUGACGGUAGCCAAGAAGGAAGCCCCGGCUAACUACGUGCCAGCAGCCGCGGUAAUACGUAGGGGGCAAGCGUUGUCCGGAAUGAUUGGGCGUAAAGGGCGCGUAGGCGGCCUGGUAAGUCUGGAGUGAAAGUCCUGCUUUUAAGGUGGGAAUUGCUUUGGAUACUGCUGGGCUUGAGUGCAGGAGAGGUAAGUGGAAUUCCCGGUGUAGCGGUGAAAUGCGUAGAGAUCGGGAGGAACACCAGUGGCGAAGGCGACUUACUGGACUGUAACUGACGCUGAGGCGCGAAAGUGUGGGGAGCAAACAGGAUUAGAAACCCCGGUAGUCC